GUUGUGGAGGUGUUAUUACAGAACAAGGCAAAUGUGGAUGAGAAAGAUAAGAAAGGCUGCACACCUCUACAUGAUGCAGCCUGGCAGGGAUACAUGGAGGUUGUGGAGGUGUUAUUACAGAACAACGCAAAUGUUUAAGAGAAAGACGAUAAAGAAGAAACUGCUUUACAAAAAGCAGAGGCACAACAUCACGAUGAUAUUGCAAGGAUUAUAACUGAGGCAACAAAUAUACAUGACCUGACAACCAAUCAUGGUACAAUUAUAGAUAGGGUGACAACCGAUGGCCAGUUUCUUAUAAAAUCAUCGUCAGUUCCAUACGGAAGCUAUAACAAUGGCGGUUGGCUUACAUCCAACCCACCAACAUCAACUUGUCCCGUGAAGCACACAUCAGGAGAAUUGCCAGGGGUUUAUGUUCCGAGUCAACUGGGACAAGCAGUUUCCACAGACAGACAAAGUGUUAUGGAAGAGAUCGCCUUGCAGUCAUCCCAACCAUAUCAUAUAGACGGAAAUCUUAACAACCUCCAUACAGAUCCUGCACACAUGGAGAUACGUUCACCAAAUCAAAGAUCAGAAACCAUAUAUGGAAACUCAAGUCAUGUUCCCACUUGUUAUUAUGGUGUCCAGUGAUACAGUAUACAUAUACAGUUUUACAACCUCCAUUAGGGGUCAGUCGUCUGAAUUUGGGAUGCAGAAAAUAACGAGUUAUUUGUCAUUUGUGUCGAUGUAGCAUUGAUGUUUCGGUAAGCAUAUCAAUUCCAUA